rnacentral:rRNA from 1 species
UGCAAGUCGAACGGAAAGGCCCUUCGGGGUACUCGAGUGGCGAACGGGUGAGUAACACGUGGGUGAUCUGCCCUGCACUUUGGGAUAAGCCUGGGAAACUGGGUCUAAUACCGAAUAUGACUGCGCACUUCCUGGUGUGUGGUGGAAAGCUUUUGCGGUGUGGGAUGGGCCCGCGGCCUAUCAGCUUGUUGGUGGGGUAAUGGCCUACCAAGGCGACGACGGGUAGCCGGCCUGAGAGGGUGACCGGCCACACUGGGACUGAGAUACGGCCCAGACUCCUACGGGAGGCAGCAGUGGGGAAUAUUGCACAAUGGGCGCAAGCCUGAUGCAGCGACGCCGCGUGAGGGAUGACGGCCUUCGGGUUGUAAACCUCUUUCAAUAGGGACGAAGCGCAAGUGACGGUACCUAUAGAAGAAGGACCGGCCAACUACGUGCCAGCAGCCGCGGUAAUACGUAGGGUCCGAGCGUUGUCCGGAAUUACUGGGCGUAAAGAGCUCGUAGGUGGUUUGUCGCGUUGUUCGUGAAAACUCACAACUCAAUUGUGGGCGUGCGGGCGAUACGGGCAGACUAGAGUACUGCAGGGGAGACUGGAAUUCCUGGUGUAGCGGUGGAAUGCGCAGAUAUCAGGAGGAACACCGGUGGCGAAGGCGGGUCUCUGGGCAGUAACUGACGCUGAGGAGCGAAAGCGUGGGGAGCGAACAGGAUUAGAUACCCUGGUAGUCCACGCCGUAAACGGUGGGUACUAGGUGUGGGUUCCUUCCUUGGGAUCCGUGCCGUAGCUAACGCAUUAAGUACCCCGCCUGGGGAGUACGGC